rnacentral:rRNA from 1 species
CUUUAUAUUAAAGGUUACGGUACAAGAUGAGUAUGCGUCCUAUUAGCUAGUUGGUAUGGUAACGGCAUACCAAGGCAACGAUAGGUAGGGGCCCUGAGAGGGGGAUCCCCCACACUGGUACUGAGACACGGACCAGACUCCUACGGGAGGCAGCAGUGAGGAAUAUUGGACAAUGGGGGGAACCCUGAUCCAGCCAUGCCGCGUGCAGGAAGACUGCCCUAUGGGUUGUAAACUGCUUUUGUACGGGAAGAAACCGCUCUACGCGUAGAGCCUUGACGGUACCGUAAGAAUAAGCAUCGGCUAACUCCGUGCCAGCAGCCGCGGUAAUACGGAGGAUGCAAGCGUUAUCCGGAAUCAUUGGGUUUAAAGGGUCCGUAGUGGGCCGGUCAGUCAGAGGUGAAAUCCUGCAGCUCAACUGUAGAACUGCCUUUGAUACUGCCGGUCUUGAAUCG